rnacentral:rRNA from 1 species
UGGGGAAUAUUGGACAAUGGGCGAAAACCUGAUCCAGCCAUGCCGCGUGUGUGAAGAAGGUCUUCGGAUUGUAAAGCACUUUAAGUUGGGAGGAAGGGCAGUUACCUAAUACGUGAUUGUUUUGACGUUACCGACAGAAUAAGCACCGGCUAACUCUGUGCCAGCAGCCGCGGUAAUACAGAGGGUGCAAGCGUUAAUCGGAAUUACUGGGCGUAAAACGCGCGUAGGUGGUUAGUUAAGUUGGGUGUGAAAUCCCCGGGCUCAACCUGGGAACUGCAUUCAAAACUGACUGACUAGAGUAUGGUAGAGGGUGGUGGAAUUUCCUGUGUAGCGGUGAAAUGCGUAGAUAUAGGAAGGAACACCAGUGGCGAAGGCGACCACCUGGACUGAUACUGACACUGAGGUGCGAAAGCGUGGGGAGCAAACAGGAUUAGAUACCCCGGUAGUCCCUGAGCGGGCUGGCAAGGCGCAU